rnacentral:rRNA from 1 species
UGUGAACUCGAAGAGUAGGGCGGGACACGUGGUAUCCUGUCUGAAUAUGGGGGGACCAUCCUCCAAGGCUAAAUACUCCUGACUGACCGAUAGUGAACCAGUACCGUGAGGGAAAGGCGAAAAGAACCCCGGCGAGGGGAGUGAAAAAGAACCUGAAACCGUGUACGUACAAGCAGUGGGAGCACCUUCGGGUGUGACUGCGUACCUUUUGUAUAAUGGGUCAGCGACUUAUAUUCUGUAGCAAGGUUAACCGUAUAGGGGAGCCGCAGGGAAACCGAGUCUUAACUGGGCGUUAAGUUGCAGGGUAUAGACCCGAAACCCGGUGAUCUAGCCAUGGGCAGGUUGAAGGUUGGGUAACACUAACUGGAGGACCGAACCGACUAAUGUUGAAAAAUUAGCGGAUGACUUGUGGCUGGGGGUGAAAGGCCAAUCAAACCGGGAGAUAGCUGGUUCUCCCCGAAAGCUAUUUAGGUAGCGCCUCGUGAAUUCAUCUUCGGGGGUAGAGCACUGUUUCGGCUAGGGGGUCAUCCCGACUUACCAACCCGAUGCAAACUACGAAUACCGAAGAAUGUUAUCACGGGAGACACACGGCGGGUGCUAACGUCCGUCGUGAAGAGGGAAACAACCCAGACCGCCAGCUAAGGUCCCAAAGUCAUGGUUAAGUGGGAAACGAUGUGGGAAGGCACAGACAGCCAGGAUGUUGGCUUAGAAGCAGCCAUCAUUUAAAGAAAGCGUAAUAGCUCACUGGUCGAGUCGGCCUGCGCGGAAGAUGUAACGGGGCUAAACCAUGCACCGAAGCUGCGGCAGCGACACUAUGUGUUGUUGGGUAGGGGAGCGUUCUGUAAGCCUGCGAAGGUGUGCUGUGAGGCAUGCUGGAGGUAUCAGAAGUGCGAAUGCUGACAUAAGUAACGAUAAAGCGGGUGAAAAGCCCGCUCGCCGGAAGACCAAGGGUUCCUGUCCAACGUUAAUCGGGGCAGGGUGAGUCGACCCCUAAGGCGAGGCCGAAAGGCGUAGUCGAUGGGAAACAGGUUAAUAUUCCUGUACUUGGUGUUACUGCGAAGGGGGGACGGAGAAGGCUAUGUUAGCCGGGCGACGGUUGUCCCGGUUUAAGCAUGUAGGCUGAUUGUCCAGGCAAAUCCGGAUAAUCAAGGCUGAGGUGUGAUGACGAGGCACUACGGUGCUGAAGUAACAAAUGCCCUGCUUCCAGGAAAAGCCUCUAAGCAUCAGGUAACAUCAAAUCGUACCCCAAACCGACACAGGUGGUCAGGUAGAGAAUACCAAGGCGCUUGAGAGAACUCGGGUGAAGGAACUAGGCAAAAUGGUGCCGUAACUUCGGGAGAAGGCACGCUGGUGUGUAGGUGAAGUCCCUGCGGAUGGAGCUGAGACCAGUCGAAGAUACCAGCUGGCUGCAACUGUUUAUUAAAAACACAGCACUGUGCAAACACGAAAGU